rnacentral:rRNA from 1 species
UACGUAGGGUGCGAGCGUUGUCCGGAAUUAUUGGGCGUAAAGAGCUUGUAGGCGGUCUGUCGCGUCUGCUGUGAAAAUCCGGGGCUCAACCCCGGACUUGCAGUGGGUACGGGCAGACUAGAGUGUGGUAGGGGAGACUGGAAUUCCUGGUGUAGCGGUGAAAUGCGUAGAGUAUCUGGAGGAACACCGGUGGCGAAGGCGGCGUCCUGGACCAACACUGACACUGAUGAGC